rnacentral:lncRNA from 1 species
UUCUCUCACAAAUGGAUAUGUCAAUAGGUUUGCUAGUGAAACAUUCACCGCCUCCUGCAUUUAUCAAUACAUUUAUAUUGUUAUAUAUGAUCAGCUCAUCGAUCUAACAUGUGUUUGUAUACCCUUUCACAUCGGCCACAUUGAUCUUCAAAGGCUGAAUCUCCAAGUUCUGAUAUAACCUUUGACUUGGCUGGUAAACAGAUUUUGACCCAGUCCUCUAUGAAGUCACUGCAAUUAACGUAUAUAUUUUUUACUAAUCUCAUUUAAUAAAUCCUGUUAUUAAAAUUGAUUAAAUUUUAAUAAAAUGGAUAUAGAGAUAUUUUACGUGGAGUUGUUUCCAUCUAAGGGGAAAGACAUAAGCCCUUUGAUCCCACCACAUGCACUGUGUCCUAUCACCACAAUGUUCUCCACCUACA